GACGAACGCUGGCGGCGUGCUUAACACAUGCAAGUCGAACGGAAAGGCCCCUUUGGGGGUCCUCGAGUGGCGAACGGGUGAGUAACACGUGAGUAACCUGCCCUUGACUUCGGGAUAACUUCAGGAAACUGGGGCUAAUACCGGAUAGGAAUCCUUGCUUCAUGGUGGGGGUUGGAAAGCUUCGGCGGUUUUGGAUGGACUCGCGGCUUAUCAGCUUGUUGGUGGGGUAGUGGCUUACCAAGGCUUUGACGGGUAGCCGGCCUGAGAGGGCGACCGGCCACAUUGGGACUGAGAUACGGCCCAGACUCCUAAGGGAGGCAGCAGUGGGGAAUAUUGAACAAUGGGCGGAAGCCUGAUGCAGCAACGCCGCGUGCGGGAUGACGGCCUUCGGGUUGUAAACCGCUUUCAGCAGGGGCGAAGCUUGUGGUGACGGUACCUGCAGAAGAAGCACCGGCUAACUACGUG
rnacentral:rRNA from 1 species